UACAGAGGGGGCAAGCGUUAUUCGGAAUUACUGGGCGUAAAGCGUGCGCAGGCGGCUUCUCAAGUCAGGGGUGAAAGCCCAGAGCUCAACUCUGGAAUUGCCUUUGAGACUGAGUGGCUUGAGUACGAGAGAGGUGAGUGGAAUUCCCAGUGUAGAGGUGAAAUUCGUAGAUAUUGGGAAGAACACCGGUGGCGAAGGCGGCUCACUGGCUCGUAACUGACGCUCAUGCACGACAGCGUGGGGAUCAAACAGG
rnacentral:rRNA from 1 species